rnacentral:rRNA from 1 species
CCUACGGGAGGCUGCAGUGGGGAAUAUUGCACAAUGGGGGGAACCCUGAUGCAGCGACGCCGCAUGAGUGAAGAAGUCUUUCGGUAUGUAAAGCUCUAUCAGCAGGGAAGAAAAUGACGGUACCUGACUAAGAAGCCCCGGCUAACUACGUGCCAUCAGCCGCGGUAAUACGUAGGGGGCAAGCGUUAUCCGGCUUUACUGGGCGUAAAGGGAGCGCAGACGGCUGUGCAAGUCUGGAGUGAAAGGCGGGGGCCCAACCCCCGGACUGCCCUGGAAACUGGAAAGCUGGAGUGCAGUGGAGGUAAGCGGAAUUCCUGGUGUAGCGGUGAAAUGCGUAGAGAUGAGGAGGAACACCAGUGGCGAAGGCGGCUUACUGGACUGCAACUGACGUUGAGGCUCGAAAGCGUGGGGAGCAAACAGGAUUAGAUACCCUUGUAGUC